rnacentral:ncRNA from 1 species
GCUGUGGAGAGCAAAACAAAUGCGAGUAGACAUUUCAUGUCAAAAGCAUGUUCGUUGAAGCAGCAA